UGAAAGAAAGGCUAGGAGGGCCCUGAAAAGCUUUGGUCAGGCAAGAUCUGAGGAGGGUCUGAGGGACGGGGAGGAAGUGAGCAGCUCAGCCCCCUCCCAUUUACUGCGAACCAGGUCUGGGGUGUACUGCAAGGAGGAGGGGUCGAGAGAUACUGGAGGAAUUAAGUCACAGGCCUGCCCAGACUCAAGGGGAGGGAACGCUGACUCCACCUCUCACAGGAGAAUGUCAGAGUCUCCUUGGAAGAAGAACAUGGCGGAGGGGAGCUGCUGAGCUGGCCCGGAAGGAUCAGUCCGAGGGACACCUGCCAGUCACCGUCUUCUCCCAGAGAAGGGGACAGACCCGGGGCUGCUGUGCAUGGUGUUCUGUCGGGCAGUGCAAAAGUCCCAGCUGAGGGGUCCAGCAAUCCAGUCCAUGCCCUGCUUGCUGUGCUGUGCAUCUGAGGAUUAUAUCCACCCAGAGAAGGCACUUUAACAACAUUCAUCUGCCAGAAGACAAGCCCCUUUUUCUGACUUGGAUGAAGGUCCAAGGGGUGCAUUCCUCCCCAUAUGUCAAGCUGGAGGGGGCACCUGAUCAACCGCACAUGGGUAGAAGAGGUCCUAUCUGGCACUGUCCCUCCCUUUUCUUUUUGCCUUGAAGGCAAACGCGAUACCUGGAGCAGAGCAGCCUUCUUGUGAUCAUGAAGUAGCAAGCAAGGGAAGAGGCGGACAUGCUCAAGAUAGUGGUGAGGAAACAUGCAAAGAAGGGCUGAUGUCCCUGAGAGCUUGUUAAACAGCCGACCCCACGCCACCAGCUCCCACCUCCAGACUUCUUGUUACAUGAGAAAAGCAAACACCCUCAGGUUCACGUCUCUCUUACUCGCUGCCAAACACACCUUAACGGAGGCAAGAUAUACCUGUGACUGCAGAACAGGGUGCACGAUGCCAAGCGCCCUGAGACAAGCGCAGGAAAGCAAACGUGACAUCUCGGAGGAAAGAGAGCUCAGCCCCGUGUUGCUGGAGGAGUUGGUGUCUGAGAUGAGCCUUGGAGGAAGGCUGGAAUGUUGACUGACAGCGGGGAGGGAAAAGGACUCAGGACAGAGGCAGUGUCCUGGCCAGCUGCAAAAAACCCAAAAACAAAAGCAGAGGCAGCAAGGCAGCACUCACGGGGAGAAGUGGGAGCGGACUCUGGAGGGCGACUGGGAGGUGGAACAAGGAGCCGGCCAGUGACUCUGGGCAUUUGACAGCGUGGAAGCUGGAGGCUCACACAGGUGCCAGCGUGUCCGCUUCCCGGUGCUCUGGGAGUCACUCAUAUGUCUCUACCCCCCUAAGCUCUCUUCCCUGCUGGGACUGGCUUCGUCCACUCUCUCCUGCCCCUGGAGCCGUCCACGACAGCGCCCAGCGAUCUUCGCCUCUUGGUGUUCGUGCCCUUCUACAGCCACCUCCCAGCAGGACACAGCUGGCCUGUGUGACCAGUCGGCCACUGUGGGAUGAAAGCUUCUGACUUCUGAGCCCAGGCCAGGGGCUUGGGAGAGAGCAGACCACCCCAGGAGGUUUGCUGGAGGGAAUACCCCCAAGGUGCAGGCAGGAUGGAGGAAUGGGGGCACUAGGGGGUAGUGACAGAGCGGCUGCCUGGUAAGCCACAGUCGUGGAGGGACGCAGCCACUGCAAGAAGGGGCGUCCCUAAAACAGGGAGGGGGAGGGAGGACUGUCCGACCUCCCCUCCUGCGACCUGACUUCCGGUCAGUGCCUCUCUUUUGCCAAACCCAACCAGCUGACAAAGGAGCUCUUGGGUGCAGCCUCCCAGGGCCUAAAGCAAAUGAGAACAGGACAGAGAAUGGGUGUGGGCGUGGGGCAAAUGGGAUAACCAGGCCACAAGAGAACGUGCAGUCCCCGUACAGAGCUGAAAGACUCAAUAUUGCUCAUGUGCUCCUUCUCAAAUUGAUCUGCAGGGCCACACAGGCCCGCUCACUGUCCCGCUGGCUUUUCUGUAGAAACUGAUAAGCUGAUUCUAAAAUUUCUAUGGAAAUGCAAAGGACUUGAAUAUCUAAACUAAUCUGACAAGAGAACAGAGUUGGAGGACUUGACUUUAGACUUAAACACAAAACCACACUGAUAAAGACAACGUGGUACCAGCAUACAGAUAGACGGUUAAAGCGACAGAGUAGGGAGCCCAGAAAUAGAUCUGCACUUGUACGGUCACUUGGUUUUUGACAGAAGCAUGGGAGCAAUCCAAUGGGGAAGGCAAGUUUUUCCAACAAAUGUUGCUGGAAAAACUGGAUGUUCACAUUGAAAAAGCAAAACCAGGCUGGCUGGAUUAGCUCCCUUGGUUAGAUCAUGGCGUUGAAAACACCAAUGUCAAGAGUUGCGAUCCUUGUACAGGCCAGUUGUAAAAAAAGAAAAAACAAAACAAAUAAAAACUUUUCUUUUCUUUUCUUU